rnacentral:sRNA from 1 species
AGGGCAAUCUGGCUGAGAUCUGUCACCCAGUUGAUAGCCUGUAUUGGUUGGGCUAGUGUGACAGACUAGACUGAUGUCCCUUUCCUCUU